rnacentral:rRNA from 1 species
CCUACGAGUGGCAGCAGUGGGGAAUAUUGGGCAAUGUAGGAACCUCUGCCCCAGCAACGCCGCGUGCAUGAUGAAGGUCUUCGGAUUGUAACGUUCUUUUCUAAGGGAAGAAGAAAGUGACGGUACCUUAGGAAUAAGCCUCGGCUCACUACGUGCCAGAAGCCGCGGUAAUACGUAGGCGGCGAGCGUUAUCCGGAAUGACUGGGUGGCAAGGGUGCGGAGGUGGUUUGGCAAGUUAGUAGAGUAACUCCAAGGCUCAACCUUGAAACUACUACUAAAACUGUUGGACUUGAGGGCAGGAGGGGCAACCGGAAUUCCUAGUGUAGCGGUGGAAUGCGUAGAUAUUAGGAGGAACACCAGUGGCGAAGGCGGGUUGCUAGACUGUAACUGACACUGAGGCACGAAAGCGUGGGGAGCAAACAGGAUUAGAUACCCGAGUAGUC